rnacentral:rRNA from 1 species
UACAGAGGGUGCAAGCGUUGUUCGGAAUCAUUGGGCGUAAAGGGCGCGUAGGCGGGAUGGCAAGUCGGUCGUGAAAUCCCUCGGCUCAACCGAGGAACGUCGAUCGAUACUGCUGUUCUUGAGGAUUGCAGAGGAGACUGGAAUUCCCGGUGUAGCGGUGAAAUGUGUAGAGAUCGGGAGGAACACCGGUGGCGAAGGCGGGUCUCUGGGCAAUUCCUGACGCUGAGGCGCGAAAGCGUGGGGAGCAAACGGG